AAUUGCAAAUUUAGCCACUUUUUCUUUCCAACCACCCACCACCCAAACAUGCACCCACAUUAGUACGGGAGACUAAAAAUUUUUUAGCGCUAUAAAAAAAGUACUGCAAAGGAAAAAUGAAAUAGAACUUAAAUAAACCACAAAAAUAUGCCAAAACAAAGACUAAAACCUGUACCUCUUGCAUCAUGGUCUAGCAAGUCUAACCCGACAAAAAGAACUUAAGCCGGACCCCCCGAAACCAAACGAGCUACCCCAGGGCAACCCGUGAGUUGAUCCCCCUCUGUGGCAAAAGAGCGGAAAGACCCUAGGGUAGUGGCAAUAAACCUAACGAGUUUGAAUAUAGCUGGUUACUUGAAAAAUGAACUUUAAUUCAACCAAAAGCACUCCAACCAUUAAGAAACAAACAUGCUUUUGUUAUAAUAAAUUAGGGUACAGCCUAAUUAAUAAGGGAAACAACCCACAUAAAUGAAUAACGACUAUAAUGUACCAGGACCACCAACCCAGUAGGCCUAAAAGCAGCCACCAAAAUAGCGUUAAAGCUUAACCAACACUCAACCCACUAUCCCAUUAAAUAAUCCUAAUUCAACACAACAAUCAAGUUAAUCUACACUAGAUAAGUUAUUACUAGAAUAAGUAACAAGGACACAUCCUCAAGAAUACAUGUGUAAAUCAAAAUGAAUACAUCACUGAUAUUUAACAUUACAAAUACUAAAAUGUUAACCCAACACAGGAGUAUUUAAGACGACCCUUAGCUUGGGAAGGAACUCGGCAAACGAGGCCCCGCCUGUUUACCAAAAACAUCGCCUUCUGACCUAUAAACGUAGAAGGUCCUGCCUGCCCAGUGACCCCAUUUAACGGCCGCGGUAUUAUGACCGUGCAAAGGUAGCGUAAUCACUUGUCUUUUAAAUAAAGACCAGUAUGAACGGCUAAACGAGGGCCUAACUGUCUCCCCAAGUCAGUCAGUGAAAUUAAUCUUCCCGUGCAGAAGCGGGAGUAAAAAUAUAAGACGAGAAGACCCUGUGGAGCUUAUAAAUUUAAGCUACAACACGUACGCACCAGAUUUUUGGUUGGGGCGACCAUGAGGCAAAAUAAACCCUCAAGAUUUAAAACCAGAAGGACACUUCAAACUAUGGUACACCCACACAUUGACCCAACACUUGACUAACGAACCAAGUUACCCCAGGGAUAACAGCGCAAUCCUCUCACAGAGCCCCUAUCGACGAGCGGGUUUACGACCUCGAUGUUGGAUCAGGACCCCCAAGCGGCGCAGCAGCUGUCAAAGGUUCGUUUGUUCAACGAUUAAAGUCCUACGUGAUCUGAGUUCAGACCGGAGAAAUCCAGGUCAGUUUCUAUCUAUAACCUAUGCCUUUUUAGUACGAAAGGACCAAAAGGCGGGGACCAAUAAAAAACUUAAGUCCCACCAAUAGUUUCUGAAUGCAAAUAAAGAAGCUCAUGAAAACCAACAAAG
rnacentral:rRNA from 1 species